UCGAGAAUCUUCCGCAAUGGGCGAAAGCCUGACGGAGCGACGCCGCGUGGAGGACGAAGGCCUUCGGGUUGUAAACUCCUGUCACGAGUUAAGAAGGACGGCUGACGAACAGUGAGACGUCUUGACGUAAGCUCGAGAGGAAGCACUGGCUAACUCUGUGCCAGCAGCCGCGGUAAUACAGAGAGUGCGAACGUUGUUCGGAAUUACUGGGCUUAAAGCGCACGUAGGCGGCGUCGUAAGUGUCAGGUGAAAUCCCACGGCUCACCCGUGGAACUGCCUGGCAGACUGCGACGCUCGAGUGUGGUAGGGGAGAGCGGAACUCCUGGUGGAGCGGUGAAAUGCGUAGAUAUCAGGAGGAACACCGGUGGCGAAGGCGGCUCUCUGGUCCACAACUGACGCUGAGGUGCGAAAGCUAGGGGAGCAAACGGG
rnacentral:rRNA from 1 species